AUUAUUGUUUAUUUAUCUAGAUUUUAUGGACAAUUUUAUAUCAUUUCUUGCAUUAAGCAUCAACAUGAAAACCCUCUUAUAAUUGCCACUUUCCUGGCAGAAUUUACCUGUAUAAGGACAGGUCUAGGAUCAGCUUAUCCUCCCCAAUCCUGACCCUAGACCUGUAUAAGGACAGGUCUAGGAUCAGCUUAUCCUCCCCAAUCCUGACCCUAGACCUGUAUAAGGACAGGUCUAGGAUCAGCUUAUCCUCCCCAAUCCUGACCCUAGACCUGUAUAAGGACAGGUCUAGGAUCAGCUUAUCCUCCCCAAUCCUGACCCUAGACCUGUAUAAGGACAGGUCUAGGAUCAGCUUAUCCUCCCCAAUCCUGUCCCUAGACCUGUAUAAGGACAGGUCUAGGAUCAGCUUAUCCUCCCCAAUCCUGACCCUAGACCUGUAUAAGGACAGGUCUAGGAUCAGCUUAUCCUCCCCAAUCCUGACCCUAGACCUGUAUAAGGACAGGUCUAGGAUCAGCUUAUCCUCCCCAAUCCUGACCCUAGACCUGUAUAAGGACAGGUCUAGGAUCAGCUUAUCCUCCCCAAUCCUGACCCUAGACCUGUAUAAGGACAGGUCUAGGAUCAGCUUAUCCUCCCCAAUCCUGACCCUAGACCUGUAUAAGGACAGGUCUAGGAUCAGCUUAUCCUCCCCAAUCCUGAC